AGGGCAGCUACCCAGCAAUGGGAUGCGAAUCUCGAAAGCCUGUCUCAGUUCGGAUUGGAGGCUGAAACCCGCCUCCAUGAAGUUGGAUUCGCUAGUAAUCGCGCAUCAGCCAUGGCGCGGUGAAUACGUUCCCGGGCCUUGUACACACCGCCCGUCAAGCCAUGGGAGCCGGGGGGUGCCUGAAGUUCGUGACCGCAAGGAGCGACCUAGGGCAAAACUGGUGACUGGGGCUAAGUCGUAACAAGGUAUC
rnacentral:rRNA from 1 species